ACACUCCUACGGGAGGCAGCAGUGGGGAAUUUUGGACAAUGGGCGAAAGCCUGAUCCAGCAAUGCCGCGUGUGUGAAGAAGGCCUUCGGGUUGUAAAGCACUUUUGUCCGGAAAGAAAUCCUUGGCUCUAAUACAGUCGGGGGAUGACGGUACCGGAAGAAUAAGCACCGGCUAACUACGUGCCAGCAGCCGCGGUAAUACGUAGGGUGCGAGCGUUAAUCGGAAUUACUGGGCGUAAAGCGUGCGCAGGCGGUUUGCUAAGACCGAUGUGAAAUCCCCGGGCUCAACCUGGGAACUGCAUUGGUGACUGGCAGGCUAGAGUAUGGCAGAGGGGGGUAGAAUUCCACGUGUAGCAGUGAAAUGCGUAGAGAUGUGGAGGAAUACCGAUGGCGAAGGCAGCCCCCUGGGCCAAUACUGACGCUCAUGCACGAAAGCGUGGGGAGCAAACAGGAUUAGAUACCCUGGUAGUCCCAU
rnacentral:rRNA from 1 species